rnacentral:rRNA from 1 species
CCUACGGGUGGCAGCAGUGGGGAAUAUUGGACAAUGGGGGGAACCCUGAUACAGCCAUGCCGCGUGUGUGAAGAAGGCCCUCGGGUUGUAAAGCACUUUCAGUGAGGAAGAACGCCUGGUGGUUAAUACCCAUCAGGAAAGACAUCACUCACAGAAGAAGCACCGGCUAACUCCGUGCCAGCAGCCGCGGUAAUACGGAGGGUGCGAGCGUUAAUCGGAAUUACUGGGCGUAAAGCGCGCGUAGGUGGCUUGAUAAGCCGGUUGUGAAAGCCCCGGGCUCAACCUGGGAACGGCAUCCGGAACUGUCAAGCUAGAGUGCAGGAGAGGAAGGUAGAAUUCCCGGUGUAGCGGUGAAAUGCGUAGAGAUCGGGAGGAAUACCAGUGGCGAAGGCGGCCUUCUGGACUGACACUGACACUGAGGUGCGAAAGCGUGGGUAGCAAACAGGAUUAGAUACCCUAGUAGUC